UGGUAUAAAAAAAUCUAUUGCUAGCACUGAAAACCCUCCUUCUCAAAAGAUAAAUAAAAGAAGAAGAAGCACUGAAACCCUCACGGCGCGGUGAGGCGGCCGCGGCGGAAGGAGAGCUAGCGCCUAGCGCCGAGACCACCUCCUAUUCGACGCCUGAGCUUAAGGAUUCUCCAUUGGAAUGCCGUGGGCAAUUCAUUAUGUAUCCAGGCAGUCAUCUGGGUGUGUAUUUUCUCACCCGAUUAAAGAUUUUUGCACACCAAAAGUAAAACAGGGGGAGCAUAUUGCAAACAGGAUACAGCUACCACGUUAAAAGGGGCCCCUUGCAUCACAGAAUUUCCUGAAUCAGUACAUUUAUCUGGGAUUCAUUGCCCAGACCGGUGAAAAAAAAGGAUGCCUCGGCUGAUGUUUAUUCCUGUAUCUGUAUGAAUGGUAUCUACCCCCGUUAUGAUUAUCCUACUGCCUCAUACAGGAUCCUGGUUCUGAUGGAGCUGUGCGGCCAUAUCCAGCCAGCGGUG